rnacentral:rRNA from 1 species
AACGUAGGGGGCUAGCGUUGUCCGGAAUUACUGGGCGUAAAGGGCACGCAGGCGGUCUGUAAAGCGGUGGGUGCAAUCUCGAGGCUCAACCUCGAAACUGCUUGCCGAACUGGCAGACUAGAGCACGGGAGAGGACAGUGGAAUUCCCGGUGUAGCGGUGGAAUGCGUAAAUAUCGGGAGGAACACCAGUGGCGAAGGCUGCUGUCUGGAACGUUGCUGACGCUGAGGUGCGAAAGCUAGGGGAGCGAACGGGAUUAGAUACCCCCGUAGUCCCU